rfam:Schistosoma mattheei strain Denwood, Zambia genome assembly, scaffold: SMTD_scaffold0005392
GCACUGCUGAGGAGUCUCGAAAUAGGACGAAAUGGCCGUCCAGUGC